GAUGAACGCUGGCGGCGUGCCUAAUACAUGCAAGUCGAGCGAACAGACGAGGAGCUUGCUCCUCUGACGUUAGCGGCGGACGGGUGAGUAACACGUGGAUAACCUACCUAUAAGAUUGGGAUAACUUCGGGAAACCGGAGCUAAUACCGGAUAAUAUAUUGAACCGCAUGGUUCAAUAGUGAAAGACGGUUUUGCUGUCACUUAUAGAUGGAUCCGCGCCGCAUUAGCUAGUUGGUAAGGUAACGGCUUACCAAGGCGACGAUGCGUAGCCGACCUGAGAGGGUGAGCGGCCACACUGGAACUGAGACACGGUCCAGACUCCUACGGGAGGCAGCAGUAGGGAAUCGGCCGCAAUGGGCGAAAGCCUGACGGAGCAACGCCGCGUGAGUGAUGAAGGUCUUCGGAUCGUAAAACUCUGUUAUUAGGGAAGAACAAAUGUGUAAGUAACUAUGCACGUCUUGACGGUACCUAAUCAGAAAGCCACGGCUAACUACGUG
rnacentral:rRNA from 1 species